rnacentral:lncRNA from 10 species
UGGAGCUGAGGGUGGAAGGGGAGUGAGCUGACGCUCGGAAGGUGUCUUGAGAUUAUCAUCCGCUGAGGGUGGAAGCGGCCCCCGCAGACGCUCGGCAGGUGUCUUGAGAUUAUCAUCCGCUGAGGGUGGAAGGGGAUGGAGCAGACACUCGGCACGUGUCUUGAGAUUAUCAUCCGCUGAGGGUGGAGCUGAGGGUAGAGCUGAGGGUGGAAGGGGAGUGAGCAGACACUCGGGAGGUGUCUUGAGAUUAUCAUCCGCUGAGGGUGGAAGGGGAGUGAGCACACACUCGGGAGGUGUCUUGAGAUUAUCAUCCGCUGAGGGUGGAAGGGGAGUGAGCACACACUCGGGAGGUGUCUUGAGGCUCAGGGAGUUAUCAGUUAUAGAAUGUUGUUGAGUUGGAGGAGGUGGCUGGUGGCCCAUCCUGUUUUUUAAAGUUUCAGCUGUGA